rnacentral:lncRNA from 1 species
CCACUUAAACUCAACAUUUUCCCGGGGCAGCGAACACUGAAUGACCUGCUCAAAACCAACAGCAAGGUCCGCUAUGAGGGAGUCGAAAACAAAACAACAAAAUGCACGUGGUAGAAACAAACUAACUUCUGAUCAUUCUGGAUGCAAAUGGAGCAGUGUCAUGGUGUCGUCUGUCAUUAGUUAGAGAAACGAUUCUUGCUGUUUUAAUCUGUCUGAAAUGUCCCGCUCAUCUGUCGCGUUAUAGUUGGAAACAACAUUUGUCGCUCCCGGUACUCGAUUGCAACAGCACACUGCCUGCUGUUAAAUAGUACGUAAUCCUCCAGCUCAUGCAUUAUGUUUCUCCACAUAACCUCCUGUGGAGGAGUCAACAGAAAGUCCAGCAGAGAAUUCCGGACAGAGAAAAGGAGCUGAAGGAUCUCAAAUAAACUAUAGCAUCUCUUAUUUAACCUUUAUUUAACUAGGCAAGUCAGUUAGGAACAAAUUCUUAUUUAUAAUGACAGCCUACCCCGGACAAACCCGGACGACGCUGGUCUAAUUCCUUGGUUUUAAUUUCUGUCCUAACAGCGGACUGCACACGCAUCAGUAAAGGUCAGUGAUAUGAUCUUUACUGAGAAAAUGAACCACAUUGAGAGAAGGCGCUCUGAUGUGAAGGUGGGUGCUCUGAUGUGAAAGUAGGUGCUCUGAUGUGAAGGUAGGUGCUCUGAUGUGAAGGUGGUGCUCUGAGGUGAAGGUAGGUGCUCUGAUGUGAAGGUAGGUGCUCUGAGGUGAAGGUAGGUGCUCUGAUGUGAAGGUGGGUGCUCUGAGGUGAAGGUAGGUGCUCUGAGGUGAAGGAAGGUGCUCUGAGGUGAAGGUAGGUGCUCUGAUGUGAAGGUAGGUGCUCUGAUGUGAAAGUGGGUGCUCUGAGGUGAAAGUGGGUGCUCUGAGGUGAAAGUGGGUGCUCUGAGGUGAAGGUGGGUGCUCUGAGGUGAAGGUGGGUGCUCUGAGGUGAAGGUGGGUGCUCUGAGGUGAAGGUAGGUGCUCUGACGUGAAAGUAGGUGCUCUGAGGUGAAGGUAGGUGCUCUGAGGUGAAGGUAGGUGCUCUGAGGUGAAUAAGGUAGGUGCUCUGAGGUGAAUAAGGUAGGUGCUCUGAGGUGAAUAAGGUAGGUGCUCUGAGGUGAAUAAGGUAGGUGCUCUGAGGUGAAUAAGGUAGGUGCUCUGAGGUGAAUAAGGUAGGUGCUCUGAUGUGAAUAAGGUGGGUGCUCUGAUGUGAAGCUGGGUGCUCUGAUUUGAAGGUGGGUGCUCUGAUGUGAAGGUAGGUGCUCUGAGGUGAAGAUGGGUGCUCUGAGGUGAAGGUGGGUGCUCUGAUGUGAAGCUGGGUGCUCUGAUGUGAAGGUGGGUGCUCUGAGGUGAAGGUGGGGCUCUGAGGUGAAGGUGGGUGCUCUGAGGUGAAAGUAGGUACUCUGAG